CUGGGAGGCCAUGACGGAGUUGGCGAAGAGCUUGGGCGGGAGGCAGCCGACCUCGCGCUCCCACAGCCCCGCCAUCCGCGUCCCCUCCCGCGGCAUCGCCUCGCCUUCUUCUUCCUUCUUCCUCCUCCGCCGCGAGGCCUUCUUCCUCCUCCCUCUCCUCUUCCCUUCUUCGCAUGUCGGCCAAGGGGGAGGUGGAAGGCGGUGGCACAUCUGGGCCGUCCAAUGUCCCAACCUCAACGGCCCAUAUUCCGUGUGGAUCUGGUGGGCCUGGGCCUCACGCGUUCACGGCCCAACUAUUCUCCCCAUCGCGGGCGGCGUGUACAAAAACCCAAAGAGAAAGCAUCAGCGGAGCAGGUUGGAAGCGGAGACCGAGAGAGAGAAGCAGCACCCAAACCCUAGCCCUCCCCUCUCCUCCCGCACGCGCGCGUCGGCGCCACCACCGGGAGCUCCGCCGCCGCCGCCGCCUCAUCCGCCCCGUGCCAUGGCGGAGACCCCCGAGCGCAGGAGGUACUCAGGGUCCCCCUCUCCUUACAGGGGAAACCCAAAAUCAAGGUCAAGAUCACGAUCACCUGCUGCUCGAUCCCAGUCUAGGUCUCCAGUCCCUGACCCUAGAUCUCAGGCAAGGUCAAGAUCAAGAAGCCGCGAGAGGGAGCCUGAUGCUGUAAAUCAUGGAAAUACACUGUAUGUGACUGGACUCUCUUCUCGAGUGACUGAAAGAGAACUUAAAGAUUACUUCUCUAAAGAAGGAAGGGUGACUAGUUGCCAUGUUGUCCUUGAACCCCAUACACGUGUUUCUCGUGGAUUUGCUUUUGUCACCAUGGACACUGUUGAAGAUGCUGAACGCUGUAUCAAGUAUCUUAACCAGUCUGUAAUGGAAGGCCGGAACAUCACAGUUGAAAAGAAGAGAUUGUGCAAGCUAUGUGCAACAAUCAAGAUGCUGAGUUCAUCAAUUUCAACUUUAGCUCAUACAGCUUGAUCAAUGGACAGCCCAAAGGGUUACUAUGCACCACAAGAUUCACAACUAAACAUAGCAAAUUUUCAACUAAACCCCUGAGCAUUCAUCUUCAACUUCCAACAUCAACUAAUCAACGGGCAUUCACAACUCGUUAGACAAGCAUGUGUGGUGACGUACGCAUAGCAAAUAUUGGAUCCCUGCUAGUUGGAGUUUGCGCUCUUCAUUACAUAUUUCCUCCAUUGGUCCGUAAUUGCGGCAUAUGUUGAUUGAUCGUAAGAGGAACUUUCACGUCGAGGUCGCCCAAGGACGCCAACUCCUGGAAGCUAUCUUGGUCAUCGAUAUGACCGUAGAGAGCCACGUGGGAGAUACCGCAGCAGAGGAGGUGGCUAUGGCCGUGAUGAGUACUACGGCAAUAGCUACCGCAGGUCUCCGCCUCCAAUGUACCCAUCCUACAGGGACACAAGGGACUACCCUCCAUACAGGGACACAAGGGACUACUCCCCCCACAGGGAUGCUCGAGAUUACUACGACGGAAGGGGAGGCAGGGGAUACUCCCCACAUAGAUCUCCUCCUUAUGGCGGUGGCAGGGCCCGGAGGGAGCGAUCUAGAUCAUUGCCGUAUUCUCCCUACCGGAUGCCUGAGAGAGGCUAUGGACGCCAAGCCGGUGGUGGUGGCUAUGACAGGUAAGGUUGCUCCCUUGGCUCUUGUUGCAUUAGAUACCUGAAUUCCAAGCUGGAAAACGUGCUGUUCCUGUUAGCCCUGAUGAAUGUUAGAUUGCUGUAGCUUUGUACUAUUUGAAAGAUGCAUUCCUGGAUUUAAUGAACGUUGUUGUAUGGGGUACCUAUAGACGGGGGUGUUUAGAUGGGGCUAAAACUUUUUAACCCAUGUCACAUCGGAUGUUUGGACGCUAAUUUAGAGUAUUAAACAUGGACUAAUAAAAAAACUAAUUUCAUAAAUGAGAGCUAAUCCGCGAGACGAAUUUUUUAAGCCUAAUUAAUCCAUAAUUAUCAAAAGUUUACUGUAGCAUCACAUUGUCAAAAUCAUGGCGUAAUUAGACUCAAAAGAUUCGUCUCGCGAAUUAGUCCAAGCUUAUGAAAUGGGUUAUGUAAUUAGUGUAUGUUUAAUACUCCAAAUUAGUGUCCAAACAUCCGAUGUGACAGGGACUUAGAAUAAGUCUCUGGAAACCAAACAGCCCCUAGUCUGUAAUCUGGAAUGAUUUUAAGUACGACUGGUAUGUCUUAUUUUGGCACCUUUA